GUCAGCGUGCUGUAGUAAUCUGAGCAUUGGACUGCAACUCUAGAGACCAGGGUUCGAAUCCCUGCUCUGCCA